rnacentral:lncRNA from 1 species
GCACAUCUUCAAGUGGAAAAGCCCCGGCUGGCACCAUCUUAAUCAGUGGAUCCGAGCAAACCCAAGCUGAGAGACAUUCUAGAAAAAUAGCUGGUCUUCAAAGUGGUCGAGUCAUGAAGGACAACGGAAAACUGAGGACCUGUCAUAGAUUAGAGGAGAUUAAGGAGAUGCGACAGCCAAAUGUAAUAUGGGAUCCUGGAUGGUGAUCCUAAAAGAGAAGAAGGGAAUUCUGGAAAAAAUGGUCAACGUUGAGUUAGAUCUGUAUUUUAGAUAAUAGUUUUGUUUCAGUGUUAAUUUCUUGGUUUUGGUCAAUGUGCUCUGGAAUUCAGAUGUUAGCCUUAGGGGAAGUUAAAUGAAUGUUAGGAACUCUUACUACUUCUUCAGCGUUUGUGUAGAUAAAAAAUAAUUGCUGCAUAAAAAGUUGUCUAAAGCUGUAUUAUUUAUCAGGUCAUCAGUUGGCCAGCAAUCUCAACCAUCUGGAACAGAACUGAAGUCCUAAAAUGAAAGAGCUUUCAAACACAAGAAAAUGAGUCAUCGCCAAGCCCAGGCAAUGAUAAUACCUGUAUGUUUGGGACCUAAACUUGAUCUUGGAUGUAACAUGCCAUCAAUGGCCUAAGGAAGAAGACAUUUCCUGAAGUGGCUUCCUCCUUUUUAUUCGUGAAGGAAAAACUAUGUUGGUGGCCCCUCAAGACUCCUGACAUCCACACACAGACUUCCCUUUGCAGUGGACAUUUAUGAGCCAUACGACCCUCCCUGGCGGGCUAUUAACUAUGCUGCUCAGGGAGCCACUCAAUUCGGCUCUCAACGCCUGAAGCAGACAGUGUUCCUGCCAAAGCCGGAUUCUUUCAGGUCGGUUUUAUACUCGUUUUAUACAUUUAUCCCCAGCUUCUGUGUGCUUUGCUUCUAACUGCUCUUACCUACAGCUUUCUUCAGGGAAAUACUCUUGAACCCCUGAGCCAAUAUGCCCUGUGUACAAAGAGCUAGAAGUUCCCGGAGGUUUAAAUCCUCUCCAGGUGGCCUGUAGCCAGGUGGGGGGUUGGAAAGCCCAGCUCCGUUGCCUUGAGGUAGGACAAAUUCUCAAGAUGUCAUUUAUGCUCCAGAGAUUCCUGCAGGGUCAGGCUGAGCCUAGAACGUUCCCUUGGAAUCAGCCCCUUCAUCCCGUGCUUCCUCUUGUCUGACCUACUUUCCUCACUCCUCUUCCAGCUUCUCC